rnacentral:rRNA from 1 species
UACGGAGGGUGCAAGCGUUGUUCGGAAUUAUUGGGCGUAAAGGGCGUGUAGGCGGUUUUCUAAGUCUGAUGUGAAAGCCCCGGGCUCAACCUGGGAAGUGCAUUGGAAACUGGAAGACUUGAGUACGGGAGAGGGCAGUGGAAUUCCUGGUGUAGGAGUGAAAUCCGUAGAUAUCAGGAGGAACACCGGUGGCGAAGGCGGCUGCCUGGACCGAUACUGACGCUGAGACGCGAAAGCGUGGGGAGCAAACAGG